AGAGCGAACGUUAGCGGCGGGCCUAACACAUGCAAGUCGAACGAGAACGCUCCUUCGGGAGUUAUUAAAGUGGCGCACGGGUGAGGAACGCGUAGGUAAUCUACCCUUUGGCGGGGGACAACAUUCCGAAAGGAAUGCUAAUACCGCGUAAGACCACAUUCACUACGGUGAGAGCGGUUAAAGGUGCCUCAAAGCACCACCAAAGGAUGAGCCUGCGUCCCAUCAGCUUGUUGGUAAGGUAAUGGCUUACCAAGGCGAAGACGGGUAGCUGGUCUGAGAGGAUGAUCAGCCACACUGGCACUGGAACACGGGCCAGACUCCUACGGGAGGCAGCAGUGAGGAAUAUUGGGCAAUGGGCGAAAGCCUGACCCAGCCACGCCGCGUGUGUGAUGAAGGCCUUCGGGUCGUAAAGCACUGUGGGGAGAGACGAAAAAGCGCAUGAGGAAAUGCUUGCGCCUUGACGGUACCUCCUUAGCAAGCACCGGCUAACUCUGUGCCAGCAGCCGCGGUAAUACAGAGGGUGCGAACGUUGCUCGGAUUUACUGGGCGUAAAGCGCGUGUAGGCGGACUCGCAAGUCGGUUGUGAAAUCCCUGGGCUUAACCUAGGAACUGCAUCCGAAACUGCUUGUCUUGAGUAAUGGAGAGGGUGGCGGAAUUCCCGGUGUAGAGGUGAAAUUCGUAGAUAUCGGGAGGAACAUCAGUGGCGAAGGCGGCCACCUGGACAUUUACUGACGCUGAGACGCGAAAGCGUGGGGAGCAAACAGGAUUAGAUACCCUGGUAGUCCACGCCGUAAACGAUGUCAACUAGCCGUUGGGGGUCUUAGUACCUUUAGUGGCGCAGCUAACGCAUUAAGUUGACCGCCUGGGGAGUACGGUCGCAAGACUA
rnacentral:rRNA from 1 species